rnacentral:rRNA from 1 species
AACGAACGCUGGCGGCAUGCCUAAUACAUGCAAGUCGAACGCGCCCUUCAGGUCUUGUGGCGCACGGGCACGUACUGCGUGUGAACAUGCGCUUAGGUUCGGGAUAAUAACCCGCCAGGGGUGCUAGGACCGGUUUAUGUCACCGGACCAAAGAUGUAUUGACUUUGGUUAGGCCAGCGUUGGUUUAGCUAAGUGGCUGGGUAAAAGCCAACAAAGGGGACGAUCCAUAACUGGUCUGUGAGGAUGAUCAGCCACACUAGGACUGAGACACGGCGCAGAAUCCUACGGAAGGAAGCAGUGCGGAAUAUUGGACAAUGGGCGAAAGCCUGAUCCAGCAAUGCCGCGUGAGUGAUGAAGACCUUAGGGUUGUAAAGCUCUGUUACAAGGGAUGAUAAUGACAGUACCGGAAGAAUAAGCUCCGGCUAACUCCGUG